rnacentral:rRNA from 1 species
AACGCGGUUCCUCGCAAGGGGUGACUGAGUGGCGAACGGGUGAGUAACACGUGGGUGACCUACCUUCGAGUGGGGGAUAACGUCCCGAAAGGGACGCUAAUACCGCAUAACAUCCUGCCUUUGAACAGGCGGUGAUCAAAGCCGGGGAUCGCAAGACCUGGCGCUUGAUGAGGGGCCCGCGUCUGAUUAGCUAGUUGGUGAGGUAACGGCCCACCAAGGCGACGAUCAGUAUCCGGCCUGAGAGGGCGGACGGACACACUGGGACUGAGACACGGCCCAGACUCCUACGGGAGGCAGCAGUGGGGAAUUGUUCGCAAUGGGCGCAAGCCUGACGACGCAACGCCGCGUGGAGGAUGAAGGUCUUCGGAUUGUAAACUCCUGUUGCUCGGGACGAAAAGCUCCGACCUAACACGUCGGAGUCUGACGGUACCGAGUGAGGAAGCCCCGGCUAACUCUGUGCCAGCAGCCGCGGUAAUACAGAGGGGGCAAGCGUUGUUCGGAAUUACUGGGCGUAAAGGGCGCGUAGGCGGCCUUCUAAGUCGAACGUGAAAUCCCCGGGCUCAACCCGGGAACUGCGUCCGAUACUGGAAGGCUUGAAUCCGGGAGAGGGAUGUGGAAUUCCAGGUGUAGCGGUGAAAUGCGUAGAUAUCUGGAGGAACACCGGUGGCGAAGGCGACAUCCUGGACCGGUAUUGACGCUGAGGCGCGAAAGCCAGGGGAGCAAACGGGAUUAGAU